AAGGUCGAAAUGCGCUCGGGAAUAGGAUGUAACUACGCCCAAACUGCUCUUAAUUGACCACGUGCUUGGAUACAGAUAUUACAUCAACGUUACCGGAAUGGAAGCGAGGCUAAAAGGAUAAAUUUCUGCAAAAUUAGAUCAAAAACGAGACAAACUUGUCUGCAGAUAGCGUUGUUAGUAAUUAAGGAAGGACGUGCCUAAACAGCAUAAACAGGGUGCCCCACGUAACACUAUUGUACAGUUUCCAAUUGCCAAACUCCAACCUAACUGCAACAACCAUCUGAUAGCUGCAACAAAUUUAAUUGCUUUCGAACCACCCGGUAUAAUACAAAAUAAAAAUUACCGUGCAUUCCGGUUCAUCUAAUCUGAAUGAAAGUCAUUACUUGCGAACCACCCGGUAUAAAUGGCACGACGAGCCCCCGCUUCUCGAUCCGAGAUGCUUUAUUUUCACCGUCCGGCGAUCGGAAGGCGUUCUCCGUCAUUUUAUUCUCCGUUCAUUCCCGCCCUGCCCCCGCUACGAUCACAAAGGAACGAUCCGUUGGUUCGUUUUAAAAAAAACAGUAAAUCCCGCGUCAGUUGCCGCGUAUCGAGGCCCGGCUGAUAUACGACCAGGCUCUCGUUUAAACGCUCGAAAGAGGGCCGAGGGAGAAGAGGAAGAGGGCGAACGGAAAUCCGAACUAGUCGACACCCUACGGAGUUACGACACAACGAG